rnacentral:rRNA from 1 species
CCUACGGGAGGCAGCAGUGAGGAAUAUUGGUCAAUGGACGAGAGCCUGAACCAGCCACGUAGCGUGAAGGAUGACUGCUUUCUGGGUUGUAAACUUUUUUUAUGUGGAAGAACAUUGUUCAGCGUGCCGGUUCUCGUAGUUACCUUAUGAAACAGGAACGGCAAAGUUCGUGCCAGGAGCGGCGGCACUAUGGAGGAUGGGAGGGUUACCCGGAUUUAUUGGGUUUAAAGGGAGCGUAGGUGGAUUGUUAAGUCAGUUGUGAAAGGUUUCGGCUCAACCAAACAAUUGCAGUUGAAACGGGGAGUCUUGAGUGCAGUAGAGGUGAGCGGAAUUCGUGGUGUAGCGGUGAAAUGCGUAGAUAUAACGAAGAACACCAGUUGCGAAGGCAGCUCACUGGACUGCAACUGACGCUGAGGCUCGAAAGUGUGGGUAGCAAACAGGAUUAGAUACCCUAGUAGUC